rnacentral:rRNA from 2 species
GCUCAGAUUGAACGCUGGCGGCAGGCCUAACACAUGCAAGUCGAGCGGAUGAGUGGAGCUUGCUCCAUGAUUCAGCGGCGGACGGGUGAGUAAUGCCUAGGAAUCUGCCUGGUAGUGGGGGACAACGUUUCGAAAGGAACGCUAAUACCGCAUACGUCCUACGGGAGAAAGUGGGGGAUCUUCGGACCUCACGCUAUCAGAUGAGCCUAGGUCGGAUUAGCUAGUUGGUGAGGUAAAGGCUCACCAAGGCGACGAUCCGUAACUGGUCUGAGAGGAUGAUCAGUCACACUGGAACUGAGACACGGUCCAGACUCCUACGGGAGGCAGCAGUGGGGAAUAUUGGACAAUGGGCGAAAGCCUGAUCCAGCCAUGCCGCGUGUGUGAAGAAGGUCUUCGGAUUGUAAAGCACUUUAAGUUGGGAGGAAGGGCAGUAAGUUAAUACCUUGCUGUUUUGACGUUACCAACAGAAUAAGCACCGGCUAACUUCGUGCCAGCAGCCGCGGUAAUACGAAGGGUGCAAGCGUUAAUCGGAAUUACUGGGCGUAAAGCGCGCGUAGGUGGUUCGUUAAGUUGGAUGUGAAAGCCCCGGGCUCAACCUGGGAACUGCAUCCAAAACUGGCGAGCUAGAGUAUGGCAGACGGUGGUGGAAUUUCCUGUGUAGCGGUGAAAUGCGUAGAU